rnacentral:rRNA from 1 species
UGCAGAGGUAGGCGGAAUUCCCGGUGUAGCGGUGGAAUGCGUAGAUAUCGGGAGGAACACCAGUGGCGAAGGCGGCCUACUGGGCAUCAACUGACGCUGAGGCUCGAAAGCAUGGGUAGCAAACAGGAUUAGAUACCCUGGUAGUCCAUGCUGUAAACGAUGAUUACUAGGUGUGGGAAGAUUGACCCUUUCCGUGCCGCAGUUAACACAAUAAGUAAUCCACCUGGGGAGUACGACCGCAAGGUUGAAACUCAAAGGAAUUGACGGGGGCCCGCACAAGCAGUGGAGUAUGUGGUUUAAUUCGAAGCAACGCGAAGAACCUUACCAGGUCUUGACAUCCAACGACCGCCUAAGAGAUUAGGCUUUCCUUCGGGACGUUGAGACAGGUGGUGCAUGGUUGUCGUCAGCUCGUGUCGUGAGAUGUUGGGUUAAGUCCCGCAACGAGCGCAACCCUUAUUACUAGUUACUACGCAAGAGGACUCUAGUGAGACUGCCGUUGACAAAACGGAGGAAGGUGGGGAUGACGUCAAAUCAUCAUGCCCUUUAUGACCUGGGCUACACACGUACUACAAUGGCUAUUAACAGAGAGAAGCGAGACCGCAAGGUGGAGCAAACCUCAGAAAAAUAGUCUCAGUCCGGAUUGGGGGCUGCAACCCGCCCCCAUGAAGCCGGAAUUGCUAGUAAUCGCGGAUCAGCAUGCCGCGGUGAAUACGUUCCCGGGCCUUGUACACACCGCCCGUCACACCAUGAGAGCCGGGGGGACCCGAAGUCGGUAGUCUAACCGCAAGGAGGACGCCGCCGAAGGUAAAACUGGUGAUUGGGGUGAAGUCGUAACAAGGUAACCGUAAAGGGCGAAUCCGGAGCCUGCUCUUUUCCAAUGCGC